rnacentral:rRNA from 1 species
GACGAACGCUGGCGGCGUGCUUAACACAUGCAAGUCGAACGGUGAAGCGCCUUCCUUUUUGGUGGGUGUGUGAGUGGGGAAAACGGGUGUGACACACGUGUGUAACCUGCCCUCUUCUUCUGGAACCCCGCAUGAAAGUGGGUCUUAUGCGGGAUUUUCUGUCUGUGUCUUAUGGUGGGUCUGGGAGAUAUUUUUUUUCUGGGGGGGGUGGUCGCGGGGUCUCUGCGUGUUGGGGGGGUGUUGGCCUAUCAAGGGGGUGACGGGUAGACGGCAUGAGAGGGUGGACGGUCACACUGGGGCUGAGACACGGACCAGACUCCUACGGGAGGCAGCAGGGGGGAAUAUUGCACAAUGGGCGCAAGCCUGAUGCAGCGACGCCGCGUGAGGGAUGGAGGCCUUCGGGUUGUGAACCUCUUUCGCCAGUGAAGCAGGCCUGCCUCGUUUGUGGGUGGGUUGACGGUAGCUGGAUAAGAAGCGCCGGCUAACUACGUG